GACGAACGCUGGCGGCGUGCUUAACACAUGCAAGUCGAACGGAAAGGCCCUGCUUUUGUGGGGUGCUCGAGUGGCGAACGGGUGAGUAACACGUGAGUAACCUGCCCUUGACUUUGGGAUAACUUCAGGAAACUGGGGCUAAUACCGGAUAGGAGCUCCUGCUGCAUGGUGGGGGUUGGAAAGUUUCGGCGGUUGGGGAUGGACUCGCGGCUUAUCAGCUUGUUGGUGGGGUAGUGGCUUACCAAGGCUUUGACGGGUAGCCGGCCUGAGAGGGUGACCGGCCACAUUGGGACUGAGAUACGGCCCAGACUCCUACGGGAGGCCGCAGUGGGGAAUAUUGCACAAUGGGCGGAAGCCUGAUGCAGCAACGCCGCGUGCGGGAUGACGGCCUUCGGGUUGUAAACCGCUUUCGCCUGUGACGAAGCGUGAGUGACGGUAAUGGGUAAAGAAGCACCGGCUAACUACGUG
rnacentral:rRNA from 1 species